rnacentral:rRNA from 1 species
UACGUAGGAUGCAAGCGUUGUCCGGAAUUAUUGGGCGUAAAGAGCGAGCAGGCGGUUUGGAAAGUUGGACGUGAAAUUUUAGGGCUUAACCCUAAAGGGUCGUCCAAAACUCCCAGACUAGAGUGCAGGAGGGGAAAGCGGAAUUCCCGGUGUAGUGGUGAAAUGCGUAGAUAUCGGGAGGAACACCAGAGGCGAAGGCGGCUUUCUGGCCUGUAACUGACGCUGAGGCGCGAAGGCUGGGGUAGCGAACAGG